rnacentral:rRNA from 1 species
GAUGAACGCUGGCGGCGUGCCUAAUACAUGCAAGUCGAGCGAACAGACGAGGAGCUUGCGCCUCUGCCGUUGGCGGCGGACGGGUGAGUAACACGUGGAUAACCUACCUAUAAGACGGGGGUAACUUCGUGAAACCGGAGAUAAUACCGGAGCAUAUAUUGAACCGCAUGGUUCAAUAGAGAAAGACGGUUUUGCUGUCACAUAGAGAUGGAUCCGGGCCGCCUUAGCUAGUUGGUAAGGUAACGGCUUACCAAGGCAACGUAGCGUAGCCGACCUGAGAGGGUGAUCGGCCACACUGGAACUGAGACACGGUCCAGACUCCUACGGGAGGCAGCAGCAGGGAAUCUUGCGCAAUGGGCGAAAGCCUGACGCAGCAACGCCGCGUGAGUGAUGAAGGUCUUCGGAUCGUAAAACUCUGUUAUUAGGGAAGAACAAAUGUGUAAUUAACUAUGCCCGUCUUGACGGUACCUAAUCAGAAAGCCCCGGCUAACUACGUG